UACAGAGGUCUCAAGCGUUGUUCGGAUUCAUUGGGCGUAAAGGGUGCGUAGGCGGCGCGGUAAGUCGGGUGUGAAAUCCCCGGGCUCAACCUGGGAACUGCAUCCGAUACUGGAUGGCUUGAAUUCGGGAGAGGGAUGCAGAAUUCCAGGUGUAGCGGUGAAAUGCGUAGAUAUCGGGAGGAACACCAGUGGCGAAGGCGGCUUCCUGGCCUGUUCUUGACGCUGAGGCGCGAAAGCUAGGGGAGCAAACGGG
rnacentral:rRNA from 1 species